rnacentral:snoRNA from 2 species
UAGUGGCAGUGAUGAUACAAACCUUCAGCUUUCAACGCCAGUUCUGCUUCUGAGAAUUCAUGACAGAUAAAGCUUUCAACGCCGUGAGCAGCUG